rnacentral:rRNA from 1 species
CCUACGGGAGGCAGCAGUGAGGAAUAUUGGUCAAUGGAUGCGAGUCUGAACCAGCCAAGUAGCGUGAAGGAUGACUGCCCUAUGGGUUGUAAACUUCUUUUAUAUGGGAAUAAAAUGCACUAUGUAUACUGCUUUGCAUGUACCUUAUGAAUAAGGAUCGGCUAACUCCGUGCCAGCAGCCGCGGUAAUACGGAGGAUCCGAGCGUUAUCCGGAUUUAUUGGGUUUAAAGGGAGCGUAGGCGGAUUGUUAAGUCAGUUGUGAAAGUUUGCGGCUCAACCGUAAAAUUGCAGUUGAUACUGGCAGUCUUGAGUACAGUAGAGGUAGGCGGAAUUCGUGGUGUAGCGGUGAAAUGCUUAGAUAUCACGAAGAACUCCGAUUGCGAAGGCAGCUUGCUGGACUGUAACUGACGCUGAUGCUCGAAAGUGUGGGUAUCAAACAGGAUUAGAUACCCGGGUAGUC